rnacentral:lncRNA from 1 species
AUGGGGCCACUUGUAUGCAAAUUUUCUUCUCCCUCUGCCACCCCUGUGACAGCAAUACUAACCCCUCCGCUUCCUCCAUCUCCUCAGCCUACUCCACGUGAAGACGAUGAGGAUGAAGACCUUUAUAAUGAUCCAUUUCCACUUAAUGAAUUGAAAGACAUGGAUUAUGAAGGCUCCAGCAUUACUGAAUUUGUACUCGGUUUGCCGAGGUUUGGCUCAGCUCCGCAUCAGGGAGGGCCCAUAUGGAGACUCAAGAUCAGCCUGGACUCUCCGCAUGCUGGAUUCUCAAGGUCCCAGGGCACCCAAAGAGAUGAGUUGGUUUCUUCCUGCAGUCUGGUAGCCCCUCGGAUUCUUGGAGAUGCUUCAGUUGACUAG